GCCUCACCUCGUUAUUUUCGUUGGGCUUCACAGUGAUGCUGCCCAGGAUUUCCUCUCCUUUCCGCACAGUUAGGUAAUCCUCCAGAUAAAACACUGUCUGCUUCCAGUGAGUACUUUGAGCAUCAGGAGCUUGAAGGGAAUAUUAUCAGGCAGAAGGCCGAGGUGAACGUCAGGUCUUCGGUCUUUACCGUGUAGAUGUCCACCUCCUUAAAGGGAUACGUCACAUCCAGAGCACUUAGGCUUCUCACUCGCCUGCUGCUUUCCAGUGUUAAUGAGAGCUGCUAUGGGUAUUGGGCAGCUAAACAACUUCUGCCAUCACACUAUAGGAAAUUUGUUCAAAUCUUUGGACCUGUGAAUGCUUUCUGCCUACAUGUAUCAGAUUGCAACAGAAAUAGAGUCCUCUUUUGAUUAUUAUGGCUACACUAGUACUUGAUCCAUUGUGGGUGGAUCAAUGGAGUCUUAACUAACUACAGAUCAGAAGAACAAGAACUAUACUGAUAUAAUCAGCAAUCUCUCUCUUCCAAUAUGCAUAUGUGCACUUUGUUUGUGCAUAUUU